rnacentral:rRNA from 1 species
GAAAAACGGGGUUAAACUCCCAACCCAAUGUGAACGUUACCAAACUGUUGCCUCGGCGGGGUCACGCCCCGGGUGCGUCGCAGCCCCGGAACCAGGCGCCCGCCGGAGGAACCAACCAAACUCUUUCUGUAGUCCCCUCGCGGACGUAUUUCUUACAGCUCUGAGCAAAAAUUCAAAAUGAAUCAAAACUUUCAACAACGGAUCUCUUGGUUCUGGCAUCGAUGAAGAACGCAGCGAAAUGCGAUAAGUAAUGUGAAUUGCAGAAUUCAGUGAAUCAUCGAAUCUUUGAACGCACAUUGCGCCCGCCAGUAUUCUGGCGGGCAUGCCUGUCCGAGCGUCAUUUCAACCCUCGAACCCCUCCGGGGGAUCGGCGUUGGGGAUCGGGACCCCUCACACGGGUGCCGGCCCCUAAAUACAGUGGCGGUCUCGCCGCAGCCUCUCCUGCGCAGUAGUUUGCACAACUCGCACCGGGAGCGCGGCGCGUCCACGUCCGUAAAACACCCAACUUUCUGAAAUGUUGACCUCGGAUCAGGUAGGAAUACCCGCUGAACUUAAGCAUAUCAAUAAAGCGGGAGGAA